rnacentral:rRNA from 1 species
UACGUAGGGUGCAAGCGUUAAUCGGAAUUACUGGGCGUAAAGCGUGCGCAGGCGGUUUGUAAGACCGAUGUGAAAUCCCGGGCUUAACCUGGGAACUGCAUUGGUGACUGCAAGGCUUGAGUGUGUCAGAGGAGGUGGAAUUCCGCGUGUAAGCAGUGAAAUGCGUAGAUAUGCGGAGGAACACCGAUGGCGAAGGCAGCCUCCUGGAUAACACUGACGCUCAUGCACGAAAGGCAUGGGGAGCGAACGAGG